UACAGAGGGGGCAAGCGUUGUUCGGAAUUACUGGGCGUAAAGAGUGUGUAGGCGGUGCUCUAAGUUCGUUGUGAAAUCUCCCGGCUUAACUGGGAGGGUGCGGCGGAAACUGGAGUGCUUUGAGCGCGGGAGAGGAAAGCGGAAUUCCUGGUGUAGCGGUGAAAUGCGUAGAUAUCAGGAGGAACACCUGUGGUGUAGACG
rnacentral:rRNA from 1 species